rnacentral:rRNA from 1 species
UGGCCAGGAAAGUCCGUCGGGAAAUCCACCUGCUCAACAGGUGGGCGUCCGGCGGAAACUCCCUGGCUUGGGACCGGAAGACCCGAGGGGUACGUCCGGGGUAGGAGUGAAAUCCCGUAAUCCUGGACGGACCGCCGAUGGCGAAAGCACCUCGGGAAGACGGAUCCGACAGUGAGGGACGAAAGCUGGGGUCUCGAACCGGAUUAGAUACCCGGGUAGUCCCAGCCGUAAACGAUGUCUGCUAGGUGUGCCACAGGCUACGAGCCUGUGCUGUGCCGUAGGGAAGCCGAUAAGCAGACCGCCUGGGAA